UACGGAGGAUCCGAGCGUUAUCCGGAUUUAUUGGGUUUAAAGGGUGCGUAGGCGGCCUAUUAAGUCAGGGGUGAAAGACGGCAGCUUAACUGUCGCAGUGCCUUUGAUACUGAUGGGCUUGAAUGUGGUUGAAGAUGGCGGAAUGAGACAAGUAGCGGUGAAAUGCAUAGAUAUGUCUCAGAACUCCGAUUGCGAAGGCAGCUGUCUAAGCGGCAAUUGACGCUGAUGCACGAAAGCGUGGGGAUCAAACAGG
rnacentral:rRNA from 1 species